GUCAGUGGUGCAGUGGUAAGCACGGUUGUCCCAUGAACAGCAUGACCGUGGUUCUAGUCCCGGCAGUGACG